GACGAACGCUGGCGGCGUGCCUAAUACAUGCAAGUCGAGCGAAGUUUUUCUGGUGCUUGCACUAGAAAAACUUAGCGGCGAACGGGUGAGUAACACGUAAAGAACCUGCCUCAUAGACUGGGACAACUAUUGGAAACGAUAGCUAAUACCGGAUAACAGUAUUUCUCGCAUGAGAGAUAUUUAAAAGUUGGUUAUGCUAACACUAUGAGAUGGCUUUGCGGUGCAUUAGCUAGUUGGUGGGGUAAAGGCCCACCAAGGCGACGAUGCAUAGCCGACCUGAGAGGGUGAUCGGCCACACUGGGACUAGGACACGGCCCAGACUCCUACGGGAGGCAGCAGUAGGGAAUCUUCCGCAAUGGGCGAAAGCCUGACGGAGCAACGCCGCGUGAGUGAAGAAGGAUUUCGGUUCGUAAAGCUCUGUUGUUAGGGAAGAAUGGAUAUGUAGUAACUAUACAUGUAAGAGACGGUACCUAACCAGAAAGCCACGGCUAACUACGU
rnacentral:rRNA from 1 species